rnacentral:rRNA from 1 species
GAGUUUGAUCCUGGCUCAGGAUGAACGCUGGCGGCGUGCCUAAUACAUGCAAGUCGAGCGAACGGACGAGAAGCUUGCUUCUCUGAUGUUAGCGGCGGACGGGUGAGUAACACGUGGGUAACCUACCUAUAAGACUGGGAUAACUCCGGGAAACCGGGGCUAAUACCGGAUAACAUAUGAAACCGCAUGGUUUCAUGAUGAAAGGCGGUCUUGCUGUCACUUAUAGAUGGAUCCGCGCUGCAUUAGCUAGUUGGUAAGGUAACGGCUUACCAAGGCAACGAUGCAUAGCCGACCUGAGAGGGUGAUCGGCCACACUGGAACUGAGACACGGUCCAGACUCCUACGGGAGGCAGCAGUAGGGAAUCUUCCGCAAUGGGCGAAAGCCUGACGGAGCAACGCCGCGUGAGUGAUGAAGGUCUUCGGAUCGUAAAACUCUGUUAUUAGGGAAGAACAUAUGUGUAAGUAACUGUGCACAUCUUGACGGUACCUAAUCA